rnacentral:rRNA from 1 species
CAGUCGCCGCGGUAAUACGGAGGGGGCUAGCGUUGUUCGGAAUUACUGGGCGUAAAGCGCACGUAGGCGGCUUGGUAAGUUAGAGGUGAAAGCCCAGGGCUCAACCCUGGAAUUGCCUUUAAGACUGCCGAGCUAGUAGGUGAGAGAGGUAAGUGGAAUUCCGAGUGUAGAGGUGAAAUUCGUAGAUAUUCGGAAGAACACCAGUGGCGAAGGCGGCUUACUGGCUCAUUCUAGACGCUGAGGUGCGAAAGCGUGGGGAGCAAACAGGAUUAGAUACCCCCGUAGUCCCUGUCUCUUAUAC